AAUCUGUCUCCUUUGGUUAACAUCCAUUGCUGGACCUCACACCCUCCCCUACCAGAAAAAAUAAAAGCACAAAGCAUUGAGAGGGCCUGCUAGGGGUGUUAACUCCAUGUGAUUUCUGCCCAGUCCUCUGAAUGUCAAAGUGAAGAAAUUCAGUGAAGUGCAGUUAAACGGAGGGAGUAACUAUGAUAAUCUUAAGGCCCUCAAAUGCCUCCUCUUCUAAUUAGUGAUGCAUGAAUAGAUGAAAAAGAUU
rfam:Ictidomys tridecemlineatus contig144244, whole genome shotgun sequence.